rnacentral:lncRNA from 1 species
UCCAGGUACCGCAACAUCGGAUGCACGCCAAAUGCUUCCGCAAUGUCCCCUGAGAAGUGGUUCGACUGCAGGCGGACCCUUUCGAGCUUCGAGCAAUUCCGCAGGCAGCUUGGGAGUCGUCCGGUGAAGUUGUUCUCCGCUGCAGUGAGGUGCACCAACUCGUAGCCCGUGCACAAGCCUUGAGGCAGUUCGCCGGAUAAUCUGUUGAUCGAGACGCUCACGUUGGCCAAGAGCGCGUUCUUCCCCAAAUCGGGGGGCAGACUGCCGCUGAAGUUGUUGCUGUAGAGGUAUAAGAGGUAAAGAUCCUUGAGGUCAGAGAUGCUUCCGGGGAUAUCGCCGCUGAGCUGAUUGGUGUCUAGGUCUAUCGUCUGAAGAGCCGUCAUGUUGCCGAUCUCUUCUGGGAUCGGGCCCGUGAGGUUGUUGACUUGGAGGUGCAGGUUGGUCAGCCGCUGAAGCUUUACGAUGGUAGCUGGGAUCUGACCGCUGAGCGAGUUUUCGGAGAAAUCGAUCUCUACCAGAUUUAUCAAGUUCCCGAUCUCCGGCGGGAUGGAUCCUGUUAACUUGU